ensembl:lncRNA
UGUGCCUUAAACUUCAGCUAGGUUAGGACUGUCUUUACAUAAUCACAUAAUGGUUUAGGUUGGACCAGAUAAACUGCAGAGGUCCAACACCUCUGGUCAAGUAAGGCAACCUACAGCAGAUUGUCCAGGCCCACUUUCAGGUCACUUUUGAUUCUUUCCAAGCAGGGAGACUCCACAACCUCUCUGGGCAACCCUGUACAUUAUCAGCUGGCACAGUUAAGAAGUGCUUCCUGGCAUUCAGAAGGAAACUCCUGUUUCUAUUUGACCCUGUUGCCUCAUGACCUGUCACUGGGCGCCAAUGGAAGGAGCCUGUCUCUGUCCUCUUUUCUACUCUCCCUUUAUUUAUGCACAUAAUACCUAGGAUAGGAUGAGAGGGAAUGGCCUCAAGUUGUGUCAGGGGAGGUUCAGAUUGGAUGUUAAGGAAAAUUUCUCCUCAGAGAGUGGUGAGGGAUUGGAACAGGCUGCCCAGGGAAGUGGUAGGGUCACCAUCCCUGGAGGCAUUCAAGAAAUGUGUAGAUGUGGUACUAAGGAGCAUGGUUUAGUGGGCAGUGUUGGUGGUAGGUGGAUGUUUGGACUAGAUGACCUUAGAGAUCUUUUCGAACCUUAAGGGUUCUGUCAUUCUACGUAGAUAAGAUGGCCCCUGACCCUUCUCUAGGCUCAACAGUCCCAACUCUCAGCCUUUCAUUGUAAGAGAAAUGAUGUAGUCCCUUAACCAUCUUUGUGUCCCUUCAUUGGACUCUGUCCAGUAUGUCCAUGUCUCUCCUGUACUGAGGAGGUCAGCAGUGAACAUAGCACUCCAGGCGUGUCUUCACCAGUGCUGAGUAGAGGAAAAGCUUUACCUGCUGGCAGUGCUUUGCCUAACGCAGCCCAGGAUACCUUCAGCCUUCUUUGCAGCCAGGGUACACUGCUGGCUCAUGCUCAUCUGUGUCCUCUAGGAUUCCCAGGUCCUUUUCCACAAAGGGCACCCAGCAUGUCCUGCUGCCUGGGGUUGUUACUCUUAAGGUGCAGGGAUUUGCACUUCAUGUUGAACCUGAUGAUGUUCCUGUCAGCCUGUUUCUCUGGCCUGUUGAGGUCUCUCAGAAUGGCAACAAAGGCUUCUGGUGUAUCAGCCACUCCUCCCAGCUUUGUGUCAUCUGUAAGCUUGCUAAGGGUAUGCUUUGCCCCAUCAUCCAGAUUACUGAUGAAGGUGUUAAACAAGACUGGAGCCAGUAUUACCCCCUGGAGUACUCUCCUAGUUACUGCUUAGUUAGACUAAGCCACUAAUUGCCACCCUGUAGGCCUGGCUAUUCAGCUAGUUCUUUACCCACUUUGAUGUGUGUUAAACCAGCUUGUACUUCCUCAGCUUGUUUAUGACGAUCUUACAAGGCACAGUAUUACUGAAGGUAAUUACUGAGUUCUUACUGAAGUGCAGGAAGGUGAUAUCCACUGCUCCCAUCUCUUCCCAGGUUGCUCAUUUCAUCACAGAAGCUUAUUGGUCAAGCAUGACUCUUCCUUGGUGAAUCUGUGCAGACUGAUGGUUAUUUUCUUGCUCUUCGUGUGCCUGGGAAUGGUUUCAGGAUAAGCUGUUCCAUCAACUCUCAGGGAUCAAAGUGAGGCUGACCAGUCUGUAGCUGCCCGAGUCUUCCUUUUUGUCAUUCUUGAAGAUAGGACAUUUGCUGUUCUCCAGUCUUCAGGCUCUUCUCCCAGUUGCCAUGAUCAGUCAAGGAUUAUGAAGGGGGGCCUCACAGUCACUUCUACCAUCUCCCUCAGCACUCAUGGGUGAAUCCCAUCGGGGAUGGGAUGGCCACAAUUUGUGAAUGUCCAGUUUGUUAACAUACUCCCUGACCUUAUCCUGAGCAAAAAUGAGUGUGAGAUGUUCCUUGUGCGAGUAUAGACACAAGCACAGGUAUUACAGGCUAACCAUUGUGAAAACAUCCUAAUAAUAGGUUAUGGAGUUGAUCCUUCCAGAGCAGUGAUGAUAACUGUCAGUUCCAAGAUUGAGUUGGAUGCACUAGGAAGACUUAUUCCAUGCAAGUGAUCCUCUCUUGGCCCAUGUAGUAGCGGACUAGUUGGAGCUGGCAUUUACUGUAGGUAUUGUCACAGUUUCUGCAGUCCAGCCAGCUGAUUACAGUUCAUGGGAUACAAGCACCUCCAAGCUUUUCUGCUUUGUGUUCAGACGAGCUUGUCAUCUUCCUGUCCUUUUAAGUUUACUUGUCAAGAAAUUUUGAGAUCAUUUUAUUUUGGGUUUUUAAAAGUCUGAUAUCUCAGAAGAUAGUCUGCUCUUUUGACUUGCAACCAAUGUUUUAUUAUGUAUAUUUUAUACUUUUGUUUACGACUUGUUUUUUUUCUUAAAUUAAAAAUAGGAAUGCUUUUGGAUAUAUUU